GCGAAAGUGGCGGAAUUGGUAGACGCACUGGAUUUAGGUUCCAGCGCCUAGCGGCGUGAGAGUUCGAGUCUCUCCUUUCGCA
rnacentral:tRNA from 1 species